UGCGGAAGGAUCAUUAAUGAAUUCUGAAAGGGGUUGUAGCUGGCCGUUUCGUUUGAGCGGCAUGUGCACGCCCUGAUCAUUAUCCAUCUCACACACCUGUGCACAUACUGUAGGUCGGCUUUUGAUUGGAGUGGGGUCUUCAUCGACUCUGCUUUUUAGUUGGGGCCUUCCUAUGUUUUAUCACACACUACUUCAGUUUAAAGAAUGUCCUCUUGCGUCUAACGCAUUUAAAUACAACUUUCAGCAACGGAUCUCUUGGCUCUCGCAUCGAUGAAGAACGCAGCGAAAUGCGAUAAGUAAUGUGAAUUGCAGAAUUCAGUGAAUCAUCGAAUCUUUGAACGCACCUUGCGCUCCUUGGUAUUCCGAGGAGCAUGCCUGUUUGAGUGUCAUGGAAUUCUCAACUCUAUUUGCUUUUGUGAAUAGAGCUUGGACUUGGAGGUUUAUUGCCGGUACCUGUGAUCGGCUCCUCUUGAAUGCAUUAGCUCGAACCUUUUGUGGAUCAGCUUAUCGGUGUGAUAAAAUGUCUACGCCGUUACUGUGAAGCAUAUUAUUCGGCUUCCAAUCGUCCUUCACGGGACAAUAACUUUGACCUUUGACCUCAAAUCAGGUAGGAUUACCCGCUGAACUUAAGCAUAUCAAUAA
rnacentral:misc_RNA from 1 species